rnacentral:rRNA from 1 species
UGAGAUGUUGGGUUAAGUCCCGUAACGAGCGCAACCCUUGUCCUUAGUUACCAGCACCUCGGGUGGGCACUCUAAGGAGACUGCCGGUGACAAACCGGAGGAAGGUGGGGAUGACGUCAAGUCAUCAUGGCCCUUACGGCCAGGGCUACACACGUGCUACAAUGGUCGGUACAAAGGGUUGCCAAGCCGCGAGGUGGAGCUAAUCCCAUAAAACCGAUCGUAGUCCGGAUCGCAGUCUGCAACUCGACUGCGUGAAGUCGGAAUCGCUAGUAAUCGUGAAUCAGAAUGUCACGGUGAAUACGUUCCCGGGCCUUGUACACACCGCCCGUCACACCAUGGGAGUGGGUUGCUCCAGAAGUAGCUAGUCUAACCGCAAGGGGGACGGUUACCACGGAGUGAUUCAUGACUGGGGUGAAGUCGUAACAAGGUAGCCGUAGGGGAACCUGCGGCUGGAUCACCUCCUUA